rnacentral:misc_RNA from 1 species
CUUCUCUUUUCUUAUAUUGUGUGAUUGUGCAAAAAAAGAAAAGAGAAGAAAAAUAACACAGAAUUUAAGUGGUUCGACUAUAAAGUCUACGUCCAUGGGCAAGACAAGAGAAAAAGUUCCACUAUGAUAAAAAAAAAAAAAAAGAUACAAUCACUCAGAACUCUCAAAACCUAACUCCAGAGUGUUUUCUAACUCACAACUCUACUGCAAUGGGUAAAAUAUUACAAUAUUUAUACUGGCUCAUUCUGCGAGGGCAUUGCCCUCGCACCACCAACAAGAUCAACGGUUCACUUUUUAUCUCAAACAAGUCGUAGCGUGAAGCUUUCUAGUCGAGUCACAAUUCGAAUCUUAGUUUCCAUCAUAUUUAGGAUCAGCC